GCAGCGACGCCGCGUGAGGGAUGAAGGCCUUCGGGUUGUAAACCUCUUUCGGCAGGGAAGAAGCGCAAGUGACGGUACCUGCAGAAGAAGCACCGGCUAACUACGUGCCAGCAGCCGCGGUAAUACGUAGGGUGCGAGCGUUGUCCGGAAUUAUUGGGCGUAAAGAGCUCGUAGGCGGUUUGUUGCGUCGGCUGUGAAAUCCCGAGGCUCAACCUCGGGUCUGCAGUCGAUACGAGCAAACUAGAGUGUUGCAGGGGAGACUGGAAUUCCUGGUGUAGCGGUGAAAUGCGCAGAUAUCAGGAGGAACACCGGUGGCGAAGGCGGGUCUCUGGGCAACAACUGACGCUGAGGAGCGAAAGCGUGGGGAGCGAACAGGAUUAGAUACCCUGGUAGUCCACGCCGUAAACGUUGGGCGCUAGGUGUGGGGCUCAUUCCACGAGUUCCGUGCCGCAGCUAACGCAUUAAGCGCCCCGCCUGGGGAGUACGGCCGCAAGGCUA
rnacentral:rRNA from 1 species